AUGAACGCUAGCGGCAGGCUUAAUACAUGCAAGUCGAGGGGUAGCAAGAUUGUAGCAAUACAAUUGUUGACGACCGGCAAACGGGUGCGGAACACGUACACAACCUUCCUACAAGUGGGGAAUAGCCCAGAGAAAUUUGGAUUAAUACCCCGUAACAUAGCGAUGUGGCAUCACAUUGCUAUUAUAGCUUCGGCGCUUGUUGAUGGGUGUGCGGCUGAUUAGAUAGUUGGCGGGGUAACGGCCCACCAAGUCUACGAUCAGUAGCUGAUGUGAGAGCAUGAUCAGCCACAUGGGCACUGAGACACGGGCCCGACUCCUACGGGAGGCAGCAGUAAGGAAUAUUGGACAAUGGACGCAAGUCUGAUCCAGCCAUGCCGCGUGAAGGAUUAAGGUCCUCUGGAUUGUAAACUUCUUUUAUAAGGGACGAAAAAAGGUCUUUCUAGAUCGUCUGACGGUACCUUAUGAAUAAGCACCGGCUAACUCCGUG
rnacentral:rRNA from 1 species